rnacentral:rRNA from 1 species
GAUGAACGCUGGCGGCGUGCUUAACACAUGCAAGUCGAACGAGAAGUGAAGACGGAAACCUUCGGGCGGAAGGCUUUAUUUCGAGUGGCGGACGGGUGAGUAACGCGUGGGUAACCUGCCUCAUACAGGGGGAUAACAGUUGGAAACGACUGUUAAUACCGCAUAAGACCACAGCACCGCAUGGUGCGGGGGUAAAAACUCCGGUGGUAUGAGAUGGACCCGCGUUCGAUUAGCCAGUUGGCGGGGUAACGGCCCACCAAAGCGACGAUCGAUAGCCGAUCUGAGAGGAUGACCGGCCACAUUGGGACUGAGACACGGCCCAAACUCCUACGGGAGGCAGCAGUGGGGAAUAUUGCACAAUGGGGGAAACCCUGAUGCAGCGACGCCGCAUGAGUGAAGAAGUAUUUCGGUAUGUAAAGCUCUAUCAGCAGGGAAGAAAAUGACGGUACCUGAGGAAGAAGCCCCGGCUAACUACGUG